rnacentral:rRNA from 1 species
GAUGAACGCUGGCGGCGUGCCUAAUACAUGCAAGUCGAGCGAACAGACGAGGAGCUUACUCCUCUGACGUUAGCGGCGGACGGGUGAGUAACACGUGGAUAACCUACCUAUAAGACUGGGAUAACUUCGGGAAACCGGAGCUAAUACCGGAUAACAUGUUGAACCGCAUGGUUCAACAGUGAAAGACGGUCUUGCUGUCACGUAUAGAUGGAUCCGCGUCGCAUUAGCUAGUUGGUAAGGUAACGGCUUACCAAGGCAACGAUGCGUAGCCGACCUGAGAGGGUGAUCGGCCACACUGGAACUGGGACACGGUCCAGACUCCUACGGGAGGCAGCAGUAGGGAAUCUUCCGCAAUGGGCGAAAGCCUGACGGAGCAACGCCGCGUGAGUGAAGAAGGUCUUCGGAUCGUAAAACUCUGUUAUUAGGGAAGAACAAAUGUGUAAGUAACUAUGCACGUCUUGACGGUACCUAAUCAGAAAGCCACGGCUAACUACGUG